rnacentral:tRNA from 1 species
GAACAUUGUUAUUUAAUGGUUAAAUAGUCAAAUUGCAAAUUUGUUCUUUAGGGUUCAAUUCCCUCAAUGUUCU